rnacentral:rRNA from 1 species
UACAGAGGUCCCAAGCGUUGUUCGGAUUUACUGGGCGUAAAGGGUGCGUAGGCGGCGCGGUAAGUCGGGUGUGAAAUCUCGGAGCUUAACUCCGAAACUGCAUUCGAUACUGCCGUGCUUGAGGACUGGAGAGGAGACUGGAAUUUACGGUGUAGCGGUGAAAUGCGUAGAUAUCGUAAGGUAGACCAGUGGCGAAGGCGGGUCUCUGGACAGUUCCUGACGCUGAGGCACGAAGGUCAGGGGAGCAAACGGG